CUGCGCAUGCGAAAGAAACGUCAAAGUUGCAAUGUUAUUAAUUAAAAUGUAGGUUAGGUUAUUGUUUUCAUCACAAGCUGGUAUCUGUUAUAAUGAAUAAACAUAUUCGUAAAUCGUAAUGUACAUUUAAACUCACAGACUUUUGACGUUGUUAUACCAAGAGCCAUGUUUCGCUGCGGCAGUAUAAAAUUCGAAAAGGACAGUAUAAGCCCCAUGUUCACAAAUCGUAACCCAAGACAUUUCAAAUACCUACGAAUCGCUAAUAAACCGGACGGCUACUACGGUGAUAAAACUGGAACGCUCCUACUGGCAUAAAUAUACAAAUUUGCAUUCCUACCGCCUCCAAUAAGACAGCCCGAUUGUAGAUGACAACCGACACAAACAGGCCGUCACGUAACUUCAUUGUUCGUGCAUUACAUCAACGGACCCGACACUCACCGCUAGCACGAAGGAAUGGGCCAUCAAAACCAGGCUGUAUAAGACCAUGCAUCAAGUCGUUGGCGUUUCAGUUCUUCGUACAAAGAUACCUUGCAAGCGGUCCGACAGAGUUUAUGUGCGAUUGCAAACCCGAACACAACGGCAGUAAGGUCACAAAGUUUCUAACGUGCUCCAAGAUUUCAAUUUGAAAUUGUCUGAACCGGAAUAGUCAAGAGAGCCGUGGACGAGAGAAAGAUUACCAAACCCGUGGGAUAUAAUCUGACUUGACAGAUAAUGUGAAUCGAUCUUAAAUUGUGGACCUAUUAGUUUCUGUAAAGAGAAGGCUGAGUAUUGGGUCGCUGCAAUGAAGUGAUAGAAAGCCCUACGUUCAGUCUGUCGAGAUGCUUCCCUGUUUCUAACUCAAAGGUUCUUCCAAAGAAGGUGCUUAUUACUAAUUUCUAGAUUGCAUGAAAAACCGUUUAUUUGAUUUUUUAAGAAGAAGUUAAUGGGUUUCAAGAACAAUAAAUUUGAUAAAUAUGUAAA